UACGAAGGGGGCAAGCGUUGUUCGGAAUUACUGGGCGUAAAGGGCGCGUAGGCGGCUUAUCAAGUCAGGCGUGAAAUUCCCGGGCUCAACCUGGGGGCUGCGCUUGAUACUGAUGAGCUUGAAUGCGGGAGAGGAUAGUGGAAUUCCCAGUGUAGAGGUGAAAUUCGUAGAUAUUGGGAAGAACAUCGGUGGCGAAGGCGCUCUGCUGGACCAUAACUGACACUCAGGGACGAAAGCUAGGGGAGCGAAUGGG
rnacentral:rRNA from 1 species